rnacentral:rRNA from 1 species
CAUCUGAGAUGGAAUAAAGAUUUAUCGCUUAUGGAUGGGGAUGCGUCUGAUUAGGUAGUAGGCGGGGUAACGGCCCACCUAGCCGACGAUCAGUAGGGGUUCUGAGAGGAAGGUCCCCCACAUUGGAACUGAGACACGGUCCAAACUCCUACGGGAGGCAGCAGUGAGGAAUAUUGGUCAAUGGACGGAAGUCUGAACCAGCCAAGUAGCGUGCAGGAUGACGGCCCUAUGGGUUGUAAACUGCUUUUUUAGGGGAAUAAAGUUAGCCACGUGUGGUUAUUUGCAUGUACCCUACGAAUAAGGACCGGCUAAUUCCGUGCCAGCAGCCGCGGUAAUACGGAAGGUCCGGGCGUUAUCCGGAUUUAUUGGGUUUAAAGGGAGCGCAGGCCGUUUGGUAAGCGUGUUGUGAAAUGUCCGGGCUCAACCUGGGCACUGCAGCGCGAACUGUCAGACUUGAGUGCACAGGAAGCGGGCGGAAUUCGUGGUGUAGCGGUGAAAUGCUUAGAUAUCACGAAGAACUCCAAUUGCGAAGGCAGCUCGCUGUAGUGUUACUGACGCUAAAGCUCGAAAGUGCGGGUAU